UGGGCGUGGCUUUCGGCCGCUUUGGCGUUGGUGAAGAGGCGGGGCCUGAGGCCGGGCCCGGUUCGCGGGAGACGGAAGCAGGCUGUGAAAGCAGGCAGUGUGGCUCUGUUCGCCAAGUUUCUUGGACGCUAUUGAGCCUCGAGUGGCUUUUACUGGAGAAAGAUUCAGUGUGAAAGGGAUUCCAUGUGAGAUUCUCCACUCUUGGCUUUGAAGAGAGAAGAGACAACAUACUGUAACGAGGAACACAAAUGGCCUUCAGGAGAUCAGCAUGAUGAGAAGAGGGAUAAUGAAGAGACAGCUGAAGGUGAAGAAGUUAUAAAAAGCCUGAUGCCACCACUGUGGAAAGCUGCAGUGUGUUACACACUGAGAGAAAACUUCUGUUUUCCCAGAGCCAUUUUCUAGACACCCAAUCUAUGGGCCUCCUCUGGAGUCACACCUUUUCCAGCGCGUGCUUCUGAUUGGCUCCGACCCAGCUCCAGGAGGGUAGCCGCACGAGCACCACUGAGCACUGUCAUCCCCUGAUUAAACCAGUCCUUGGACAGACUCUACAGAGGCAUGGGGGGGCUAUAAAGGGUGGUGAUUGAUCCUACUGUGUUAUUGAUUGUAUCGAUUGGGA